GGCACCUAGUUAGGAUGCCACCUGGGCGCCUCCCUAGGGAGGUGUUCCAGGCACAUCCAGCUGGGAAGAGACCAAGGGGUAGACCUAGGACCAGGUGGAGGGAUUAUAUCUCUUCGCUGGCCUGGGAGCGCCUUGGGAUCCCCCAGUCAGAGCUGGUUGAUGUCGCCAGGGAAAAGAAAGUUUGGGGCUCUCUGCUGGAACUGCUACCCCCGCGACCCGACCACGAAUAAGCGGGAGAAGAUGGAUGGAUGGAUUUCUAGAUGCCAAGUCAUUUUUGGCCGGUCCAGCAGUUCUCCAAGAAGGAGAUCGAGGACCUGCUGAGGAAAGGAGCCUACGCCGCCAUCAUGGACGAGAACGACGAAGGCAAUCGCUUCUGCUAGGAGGACAUCGACCAGAUCCUGCAGCGAAGAGCCACCACCAUCACCAGUUUGCUUCAAGCAGUGGCUGUACCAGAAAGACGUGGAGGACCAAGAAAUGUUGGCCAGAUUGGCAAAGACCGGAAGAUACAUAACAGAGAAGAUAAUGGAUAUUAACAUGAAAAAGAAAAAAAAUACGUAAUAAUUUUGGAGAAACCAGCUCGAGUGCACUAGAAUUUGAAAAUACACAGCCGGAAAAAAUCUGUUACUUCCUUACAG